rnacentral:rRNA from 1 species
GACGAACGCUGGCGGCGUGCUUAACACAUGCAAGUCGAGCGGUAAGGCCCCUUCGGGGGUACACGAGCGGCGAACGGGUGAGUAACACGUGGGUGACCUGCCCUCAGCUCUGGGAUAAGCCUGGGAAACUGGGUCUAAUACCGGAUAUGACUCCAUGACGCAUGUCGUGGGGUGGAAAGCCUUGUGCGGCUGGAGAUGGGCCCGCGGCCUAUCAGCUUGUUGGUGGGGUGAUGGCCUACCAAGGCGACGACGGGUAGCCGGCCUGAGAGGGCGACCGGCCACACUGGGACUGAGACACGGCCCAGACUCCUACGGGAGGCAGCAGUGGGGAAUAUUGGACAAUGGGCGCAAGCCUGAUCCAGCGAUGCCGCGUGUGUGAAGAAGGCCUGCGGGUUGUAAAGCACUUUCAGUAGGAAGAAACCCGAGUGCUAAUAUCACUCGGUCUUGACGUUACCUACAGAAGAAG